GUGGGGAAUAUUGGACAAUGGGGGCAACCCUGAUCCAGCCAUGCCGCGUGUGUGAAGAAGGCCUUUUGGUUGUAAAGCACUUUAAGCGAGGAGGAGGCUUACCUGGUUAAUACCCGGGAUAAGUGGACGUUACUCGCAGAAUAAGCACCGGCUAACUCUGUGCCAGCAGCCGCGGUAAUACAGAGGGUGCAAGCGUUAAUCGGAUUUACUGGGCGUAAAGCGCGCGUAGGUGGCUAAUUAAGUCAAAUGUGAAAUCCCCGAGCUUAACUUGGGAAUUGCAUUCGAUACUGGUUAGCUAGAGUAUGGGAGAGGAUGGUAGAAUUCCAGGUGUAGCGGUGAAAUGCGUAGAGAUCUGGAGGAAUACCGAUGGCGAAGGCAGCCAUCUGGCCUAAUACUGACACUGAGGUGCGAAAGCAUGGGGAGCAAACAGG
rnacentral:rRNA from 1 species